rnacentral:rRNA from 1 species
GAUGAACGCUAGCGGCAGGCCUAAUACAUGCAAGUCGAACGGUAGGUAUUGUGCUUGCACGAUACUGAGAGUGGCGCACGGGUGCGUAACGCGUAUGCGACCUACCCUUAACUGAGGGAUAGCCCGGAGAAAUUCGGAUUAAUACCUCAUAGUAUCUUUUUGUUACAUGGCGAGAAGAUUAAAGAUUUAUUGGUUAAGGAUGGGCAUGCGUAACAUUAGCUAGUUGGUAAGGUAACGGCUUACCAAGGCGACGAUGUUUAGGGGUUCUGAGAGGAUGAUCCCCCACACUGGCACUGAGAUACGGGCCAGACUCCUACGGGAGGCAGCAGUAGGGAAUAUUGGUCAAUGGGCGAGAGCCUGAACCAGCCAUGCCGCGUGCAGGAAGACGGCCUUCUGGGUUGUAAACUGCUUUUAUACAGGGACAAAAGACCGCUGCGGCGGGGAUUGAGUUUACUGUAAGAAUAAGCACCGGCUAACUCCG